UAUAUGGCUAGACUGGAGGGUUAGAGGUCCUCUGUAAGCACAAACCCUCUUUUGGUGUGGUUGAAAUUCAAAGGGCGGCUUAUUGAAUGAAUAAUCGCCUGAUAAAUCGAUAUAGAAACUUCGUCCUACAGGAUUAAUGGUCAUAAAAUCUUAACUGGAGGGUUAAGGUGAAUUAUGUUUGUUAUAGGAAUGUGUUAGGCAUGGAAAUGAGCAACUCUACUAUAAACAGUUAAUGCUUGUAGAUUAACGGGGUGGAGUUGAUUUUUCAGAUAACCUUUAUUUAGGAUGUAAGUCCACCUUUGAAUGUGCCGUUAU
rnacentral:SRP_RNA from 1 species